CCUACGGGAGGCAGCAGUGGGGAAUUUUGGACAAUGGGCGCAAGCCUGAUCCAGCCAUGCCGCGUGCGGGAAGAAGGCCUUCGGGUUGUAAACCGCUUUUGUCAGGGAAGAAAAGGUUCUGGCUAAUACCUGGGACUCAUGACGGUACCUGAAGAAUAAGCACCGGCUAACUACGUGCCAGCAGCCGCGGUAAUACGUAGGGUGCAAGCGUUAAUCGGAAUUACUGGGCGUAAAGCGUGCGCAGGCGGUUAUGCAAGACAGAGGUGAAAUCCCCGGGCUCAACCUGGGAACUGCCUUUGUGACUGCAUGGCUAGAGUACGGUAGAGGGGGAUGGAAUUCCGCGUGUAGCAGUGAAAUGCGUAGAUAUGCGGAGGAACACCGAUGGCGAAGGCAAUCCCCUGGACCUGUACUGACGCUCAUGCACGAAAGCGUGGGGAGCAAACAGGAUUAGAUACCCUGGUAGUCCACGCCCUAAACGAUGUCAACUGGUUGUUGGGAGGGUUUCUUCUCAGUAACGUAGCUAACGCGUGAAGUUGACCGCCUGGGGAGUACGGCCGCANGGUUGAAACUCAAAKGAAUUGACGG
rnacentral:rRNA from 1 species